rnacentral:rRNA from 1 species
GACGAACACUGGCGGCGUGCCUAAUACAUGCAAGUCGAACGCAGUGGGGACGGGUGCGUAACACGUGGGUAACCUCCCAUCAGAGGGGAUAACACUUGGAAACAGGUGCUAAACCGAUACUGAUGGAUGGACCCGCGGUGCAGUAGCUAGUUGGUGAGUUAACGGCUCACCAGGGCCACGAGGCAUAGCCGACCCUAGAGUGUGAUUGGCCUGAUGGGGACUGAGACACGGCCCAGACUCCUAAGGGAGGCAGCAGGAGGGAAGCUUCGGCAAUGGACGAAAGUCUGACCGAGCAACGCCGCGUGAGUGAAGAAGGUUUUCGGAUCGUAAAACUCUGUUGUUAGAGAAGCGGUAUCUAACCAGAAAGCCACGGCUAACUACGUGCCAGCAGCCGCGGUAAUAC